GAUUAUUUAACUAUAACAAGUAUAUAUUUUGAAAAUAUAAAAAAGAAUUCUUAAUUCUAAUAAUCU
rnacentral:tRNA from 1 species